CGCGUAAGAAUCUACCUAGUAGUGGGGACAACUCGGGGAAACUCGAGCUAAUACCGCAUACGCCCUACGGGGAAAGGCGGGGACCGUUCGGGCCUCGUGCUAUUAGAUGAGCUUGCGUUGGAUUAGCUUGUUGGUGAGGUAAUGGCUCACCAAGGCGACGAUCCAUAGCUGGUCUGAGAGGAUGAUCAGCCACACCGGGACUGAGACACGGCCCGGACUCCUACGGGAGGCAGCAGUGGGGAAUAUUGCGCAAUGGGCGAAAGCCUGACGCAGCCAUGCCGCGUGUGUGAAGAAGGCCUU
rnacentral:rRNA from 1 species